rnacentral:rRNA from 1 species
GUGGGGAAUUUUGGACAAUGGGCGCAAGCCUGAUCCAGCAAUGCCGCGUGCAGGAAGAAGGCCUUCGGGUUGUAAAGCUCUUUCGGCAGGAACGAAACGGUGAGCUCUAACAUAGCUCGCUAAUGACGGUACCUGAAGAAGAAGCACCGGCUAACUACGUGCCAGCAGCCGCGGUAAUACGUAGGGUGCGAGCGUUAAUCGGAAUUACUGGGCGUAAAGCGUGCGCAGGCGGUUGUGUAAGACAGGUGUGAAAUCCCCGGGCUUAACCUGGGAACGGCGCUUGUGACUGCACGGCUAGAGUAUGGCAGAGGGGGGUGGAAUUCCACGUGUAGCAGUGAAAUGCGUAGAGAUGUGGAGGAACACCGAUGGCGAAGGCAGCCCCCUGGGCCAAUACUGACGCUCAUGCACGAAAGCGUGGGGAGCAAACAGGAUUAGAUACCCCUGUAGUCC